AAAACUAUCCAGUCUUUUGGGUAUGAAACCCAUUUGGGCGAGAGUAGUACUAAGAUGGUGACCUCCUGGGAAGUCCUCGUGAAAGGGUUUC
rnacentral:rRNA from 1 species